rnacentral:rRNA from 1 species
CGAGUCCGAGUCUCCACGGAGACGAAGUGGCGGUCAUCCAGCUUCCUAGAAAAGCUCUAACCACGUUAAUCUUUAGUUGCCUGUGCCCGAAACCGACACAGGUAGGGGGGUAGAGAAUACCAAGGGGCGCGAGAUAACUCUCUCUAAGGAACUCGGCAAAAUGACCCCGUAACUUCGGGAGAAGGGGUACCACUGAGAAGUGGUCGCAGUGAAGAGGCCCAGGCGACUGUUUACCAAAAACACAAGUCUCCGCCAAGUCGCAAGACGAAGUAUGGGGGCUGACGCCUGCCCAGUGCCGGAAGGUUAAGGAAGUGGGUUAGGGAUUCGUCCCGAAGCUGACGACUGAAGCCCCGGUGAACGGCGGCCGUAACUAUAACGGUCCUAAGGUAGCGAAAUUCCUUGUCGGGUAAGUUCCGACCCGCACGAAAGGCGUAACGAUCUGGGCGCUGUCUCGGAGAGAGGCUCGGCGAAAUAGGAAUGUCUGUGAAGAUACGGACUACCUGCACCUGGACAGAAAGACCCUAUGAAGCUUUACUGUAGCUUGGAAUUGGGUUCGGGCUUGGUUUGCGCAGGAUAGGUGGGAGGCGAAGAAGAUUUGCUUGUGGGUGAAUCUGAGCCAACGGUGAGAUACCACUCUAACCAGGCUAGAAUUCUAACUUCAACCCGUCAACCGGGGGAAGGACAGUUUCAGGUGGGCAGUUUGACUGGGGCGGUCGCCUCCUAAAAGAUAACGGAGGCGCACAAAGGUUCCCUCAGGCUGGUUGGAAAUCAGCCAACGAGUGCAAAGGCAGAAGGGAGCUUGACUGCGAGACCUACAAGUCAAGCAGGGUGGAAACACGGUCUUAGUGAUCCGACGGCACCGAGUGGAAGGGCCGUCGCUCAACGGAUGAAAGUUACUCUAGGAUAACAGGCUGAUCUCCCCCAAGAGUUCACAUCGACGGGGAGGUUUGGCACCUCGAUGUCGGCUCAUCGCAACCUGGGGCGGAAGUACGUCCCAAGGGUUGGGCUGUUCGCCCAUUAAAGCGGUACGUGAGCUGGGUUCAGAACGUCGUGAGACAGUUCGGUCCAUAUCCGGUGUAGGCGCAAGAACAUUGAGAGGAGUCUUCCUUAGUACGAGAGGACCGGGAAGAACGCACCGCUGGUGUACCUGUUAUCGUGCCAACGGUAAACGCAGGGUAGCCAAGUGCGGAGUGGAUAACCGCUGAAAGCAUCUAAGUGGGAAGCCCACCUCAAGAUGAGUGUUCUCAUGGAGUAAUCCAGUAAGGUCACGGGAAGACGACCCGUUGAUAGGCGGUAGGUGGAAGUUCAGCAAUGGAUGAAGCCGAGCCGUACUAACAGACCGAGGGCUUGAC